UCUCCAGCUCAAUCUCGGCGUCCAUCUCAGCGUCCUCCUGCGCCUCCUUGUUGCUGUCGUCCAGGUGUUUCAUGAGCACGGCCACCACCACGUUGAUGAGCACGAACUGCGCGGUGAGCACGAAGCUGACGAAGUACAGCGGCGACACGAACUGCAGGCUGCUCAGGCAGCUGUGCUCCUCCUGCGUGCAGUCCCGCAGCGUGUCCUGCGGGCGGGAGCCGUGAGGUGACAGCCAGGAGUCCGACCCCCCCCAGGUCCUCACGGCCCCCACCCCACCUGGCUUGUGGUGGCAUCUGCCGGCCGCGGCUUCAGCUGGGUCCCUAGUGGCCCUGCCACCUCCCUGCUCACUCCACCCACUUCACCCCCUGCUUCCCAGGGCCACCAUCAGGCCCAACCAGGACAUCCAGGGGUCUUCUAGGGGGUCUGUCCCUGCCGUCUGGCUCUUAGGUCACCUCAACCCCCAACCAACAAAGCAGGGGAGGUUUCGCCACCUGCCGGGACCCCUGUGAGGGGGCUGCUCCUCCCGCCUCCUCCCAGCCGCCCUGAUGUCCCUCUCACUUGCUGGGGUCAUUCUAGAGAGGCCCAUGUGGGAUGCGGAAAGGGACACUCGGCUGCCAGUCUCCACCCCAGGAGGCCAAGGCCUCACCUCUGUCAGCGGGUGACAAACGGUGCCUCCCCAUGUUCCACCCUCCUGCCGGGCUCUUGCAGAGGUCCGUCCCCUAGAGAACGGCACUACCUGUCCUGGCCUCAGAGCCACCUUGCUGGGCCGCAGGGCCCCAGGCAGGUCCCUCUACUCCUCUCCUGUGUGCAAGAGGACGCUGGGUGUGCAAGAGGACGCUGGGUGUGCAAGAGGGUGCGGUGACUAGCAGGAGUGGCACCUGCACUCAGUUCAGAACACGCCCCCAGCCUCCCUCCCCAGGCCGCCCACAAGCACCUUCAUGAUCCCGUUCCAGUUGUCGCCCGUGGAGACCUGGAAGAGUGUGAGGAAGGCCAUGCCGAAGUUCUCAAAGGUGGCGUGCCGGCUCAUGCCCUCGCAAGGGUUCUCGUCAUUGCAGACUGAAAGCAGAGAGGGGCUCAGCCCGUCCCACAGACAGAGCCCCCUGCACGGCCCAACCUGAGGGGGCCCCCAGCUUCCUCCCAGAUUCCCCACCGUGACCCCCGGUCUGGGAAGACCCUGCUCCUAAGGACUGGGUGAAGUCCUCUGUGGCUCCUCAGGCCAGCGCGGGGCCUCGGAGAGGAACAGACAACCCUCACGGCCCGCAGCCCGUGGGCACAGAACACCAGAGACGCAGCCAGCGUGGUGUCCCAUGGCUCCCGCUGAAGGACACGCCCCAGAUUCCAAACCCUGUUCCAUCGGCCCCGCCUGAGACCGCCUUCACCUGGAGCCACCGAUAAGACAGGAGGAGAGCCUGUCACCCUCCCUCUGUAACCAGGCCGCCAGGAAGCUCACACUAAACUUGAGAAGAGAACCCACUGGCGUCCCCAGCAAGGCCCCCACCUUCCCUGGGCCGUCUUCAUUCUCAUUCUGAGUGUGCUGUGUCUACACCGCUGGUCUUAAGACCCCAAAGGCCCUUGAGACUGGGUUCCUCCUGGAGCGACUCUUACCUGGGGCAGAGCCUGCACCACGGUGUCCAGCAGGGCCCGCAUCCCCGUGGCCAUCUUCAACAGCUUCAGCACUGUGGGUGACACGCAGCCCGCUGGCUCAGCCCAGCCCCAAGGGACUGAGUGUGCACAG